UACGGAGGGUGCAAGCGUUAUCCGGAUUCACUGGGUUUAAAGGGUGCGUAGGCGGGCAGGUAAGUCCGUGGUGAAAUCUCUGAGCUUAACUCAGAAACUGCCAUGGAUACUAUUUGUCUUGAAUAUUGUGGAGGUGAGCGGAAUAUGUCAUGUAGCGGUGAAAUGCUUAGAUAUGACAUAGAACACCAAUUGCGAAGGCAGCUCACUAACACAGUUAUUGACGCUGAGGCACGAAAGCGUGGGGAUCAAACAGG
rnacentral:rRNA from 1 species